rnacentral:tRNA from 1 species
GCCUUCGUUGUGUAGUGGUCAGCACGCUUGACGCGUAACCGAGAGCUCUGUGGUUCGAAUCCCGACGAGGGCA